GCCACAACGCUGGUUUUAAUGAAUCCUUAGCACAUUUACAUAGGCAAAUAACAUUAAAAUAAUAAUAAAAAAAAUUGAUAACCCAAGGAUUGAUCCUUAGCUAAGGGGUUUAAGGAUCAAAUCCUUAAGUAUGUGGCAAGGCGUGAGUGGUCGAUGAACAGAACAAAUCUCAUCAAACCAAACACGACGAACCUCUCCUUCUUUUUCAAUUCCUCCGCAGCUCUUCUUCGUUGAUUCGAUUUCUAUUUCUUUGGUGAAACUUUUUAUCUGUUUUUGUGGUGAAAUCGAAUUUUAUAUCUCCAUAGGGUAUAUACAGAGAAGGGGGAGAAAAGAUGGCGGUUACUAUGAAGCAUAUGUCCUUGAUCGUCUCUUUGUUCGGCGUAUUGUCCUUCCUUCUUGGAGUCAUCGCUGAGAACAAGAAGCCUGCGUCUGGGACUCCAAUUAACGGAAAGGGAGUGGUUAUCUGCAAAUAUCCAUCUGAUCCCAACUCUGUCUUGUUCAAAAGCACCAGCUAUGGCCAACCAUUACGUUGUUUGUUUGCGUCCUAUGAUUUUGUCUUGUAGGAUCACAUCUGGACUGGCACUGUCUCUAUUGCUAUGGCCAACCAUUACGUAAUGUUCAUGUGUACAUGGCAAGUUUGAAGAUGACUCUGUUCUCUGUAUAUUAUUAUGUUAAAAGAGAAAAAGUUUUUGAGCUUCAUCAAUCAUCACUCAUCAGUGAUAAGAAUUGUGUGGUUCUGGUGGAUGAUAUCUUCAUCUAAUUAACCUUAAGAGGAUUGGUCUCUCUACUUUUGCAGAAGCAAGGCCUUGAGACAGACGCAUCAGUCUGUGUUGUUGUUGUCUAUAGGCAUUCAUCGUGGGAGAGCAUGGAGACAGUUCGGUGGCGUUGUGGUCGAGUAUAAGUGUUGGGGGCAUCCCUGUUUUAAGCUUCCUGGAGAAGCAGCAGAUCAUGGAGACAGUUCGAGAAGCUGCAGAAGCCAGUUAGGACUUUGAAAUUUAUGUCUCUUUUUAUUUGUUUCAGUUUUUGAACUUUUUGUUUGGUUAUGAAUUAUCAUAAUCACUCUUCCUAUGGAUGUUAGUGUUGAACUGUCGAUCUUGAUGUCUAUCACUAUAUGUUAUAUAAAUGCUUGUUCUUGAAGAA